UCAUAGUUUUUGCAAGGCAAACAUGCGAUUAAUUCUCACUGUGACUACGCUUUUGACUAUUGGGGGAAAGGAACAAUGGUCACCGUUUCAUCUGGAGGCUCAUCGGCACCGGCGUCCAUCUUCGGACUUUCGCAGUGUGGCUCUGACUCCAAUGGACUGGUCACUCUUGGUUGCAUGACGGGGGGAUUCUCGCCAGCAAACUCCCUGAAGUAUAAGUGGAAAGAUGCACAAGGCAAAGACCUCUCUGACUUCAUACAGUACCCAGACGUCCAUAAAGAUGGCAAAUAUUCCAAAAUCAGCCAGAUUAGUGUCCCGCUGGCAGACUGGGAAGCACGGAAAUCGUUCACUUGUGAAUUGGAGCAUCCUGACGGCAACAGGAACAUUAUUCUAACUAAACCAGAGGAAGUCCUGCAAAGUCCAAGUCUGUAUUUAACGAAACCCACGAGCGAAGAGAUAGCUCAAAAUAAGACUGCUACCUUUGCCUGCUUUGCUGCUGGCUUUUCUCCGCCUGUGCACACAUUUAAAUGGAUGAAAGAAGAAGGCGAUGACAAGCAGGAAAUGGCCAGUUGGUACAGCUUUACUUCCACAGUGAAUGGCACUAACUUUGCUACCAGCUACCUGCAAGUUCCAGAGGAUAUGUGGAAACGUCAAGACACAAAAAUCACAUGCAUCUCCGAGCAUAAGACCGGAGAGAAAUCCAGAUCAGUGGGAUAUCAGUUUAGGAGGGGUGACUGCGAUGAAGAUGCUGCUGAAGUGAAGGCUGACAUCAUAGGUCCCUCUUCCGAGGAUCUUCUUGUUCGUAAGGAGGGCUGGGUUCAGUGCAAAUUCAACGGUGACACUGCAGACGUUACGAAAGAAGGUAUAGAAUGGAGGAAAGAUGGCAAACCAACUGUGUGGAACGAGCAAGAAGGCCUUCUGGAAGAAUCUGGCAGCAUCACCAUCAAGCUUAAAAUCAAAUUUGAAGAAUGGCAGAAUGGUACAGAGUUCAGCUGUUUUAUCCCUCAUAAAAAGGUUCCUUCAGGAUUAACAAAGUCCUACAAACGAAAAACGGGAGGAGAGCACGUUAAGCCCUCCGUCUUCCUAAUGCCACCCCCAGAGCGUGAGCUCAGCGAAUACAUGACCCUAACUUGUUAUGCCAAAGAUUUCCACCCCAAGGAGGUGUUUGUGUCUUGGCUUGCUGAUGAUGAGCCAGUGGCAGAUAAGUACACAUGGAACAUCACCAGUGUAAUGAAUACUGGCAAUGGAAAAUACUCGGUGUACAGCCAGCUUACCGUCAGUGCAUACGACUGGGAGAACGUGGUGUUUAGCUGUGUUGUGUACCAUGAGGCCAGUGAGGCCAGUGUCCAAAUGAUCUCCAGGUCCAUUGACAAGGCCUCCCAGAAGCCCAGCAUAGUCAGUCUAAGCAUGAAUCUUCCACAGUGCAAGAGCGUCUGAUGUGUCAAUGCGUGUGUUUGUGUGUGUGUGUGUCUGCACGUAGGUGUCACUCUUGUGUUCUUGCGUGCUUGAUUCCACGUGAAUUAAAAGGACGUUUGUGAUUGUGUAA